rnacentral:pre_miRNA from 1 species
AAUGUAUGACGCCGUUGACUUUUUGUCCAACGUUUGACCAUUCGUCUUAUUUAAAAAAUUUAUGUAAUUAUUAUUUAUUUUAUCGUGACUUGAUUCAUCAUCAAAUAGUUUUUAAGCAUGACAUAAAUAUUUUCAUAUUUGCAUAAAAUUUUUGAAUAUGACGAAUGGUCAAACGUAGGUCGAAAAGUCAACGUCGUCAUACAU